AAUAACGGGAAUUCCCCGAAUUUGGGGGGGAAUUCGGGGAAUUUUGGGAUUUGGGGUGGGACUGAGGGAAUUCAGGAAUUUUGGGAUGGGAUUUUUUGGGGAAUUCAGGAAUUGGGGAAUUUUUGGGAUUUUUAGGAAUUCAGGGAUUUUGGAGAAUUCUGGGAUUUUUGGGGAAUUCAGGAUUUUUUGGGAUUCUGGGACUGGGGAUUUUUUGGGAUUUUUUGGGAAUUCAGGAUUUUUGGGAAUUCAGGAUUUUUUUGGGAUGGGAUUUUUGGGAAUUGGGGAUUUUUGGGAAAUUCAGGAUUUUUUUGGGAAUUCAGGAUUUUUUUGGGAAUUCAGGAUUUUUUGGGAAUUCAGGAUUUUUUUGGGAAUUCAGGAUUUUUUGGGGUGGGAUUUUUGGGGAAGGAUUUUUGGGAUGGGAUUUUUUGGGAUUUUGGGGAUGGGAUUUUUGGGAAUUCAGGAUUUUUUUGGAUGGGAUUUUUUGGGAAUUCAGGAUUUUUUUGGGAAUUCAGGAUUUUUUUGGGAAUUCAGGAUUUUUGGGGAUUUUUUUGGGAAUCAGGAUUUUUUUGGGAAUUCAGGAUUUUUUUGGGAAUUCAGGAUUUUUUGGGGAUUUUUUUGGGAAUCAGGAUUUUUUUGGGAAUUCAGGAUUUUGGAGGAAUUCAGGAUUUUUGGGAACGUCUCACCGGGGCGGCUCCGGAGUCGGGAAUCCGGGAGAGUUCCCAGAGCAGGUGGAAGAAGAGGCAGGAGAGCGCCGGGACCGUCACCUGCGGGGGGGGACAGCGCCCAAAACGGGCACAAAACCGGAAAAAACCGGCAAAAAACGGCAAAAACGGCAAAAAACAGCAAAAAACGGCCAGAAAAGGGCAAAAAAUGGGCCAAAACUGGCAAAAAAAGGUAAAAAAUGGGCAAAAAAUGGGCAAAAAACUGCAAAAAACAGGCAAAAAACGGCCAGAAAAGGGGAAAAAAUGGGCAAAAAAUGGGCAAAAACUGGCAAAAAAAGGCCAAAGAAUGGGCAAAAAAGGCAAAAAACGGGCAAAAAACAGCAAAAAACGGCAAGAAAUGGGCAAAAAAUGGCAAAAAAUGGGCAAAAAAGGGGCAAAAAACGGCAAAAAAUGGCAAAAAAUGGGCAAAAACUGGCAAAAUAUGGGCAAAAAACGGGCAAAAAACUGGCAAAAAAUGGGAAAAAAAACGGGUAAAAACCAGCAAAAAACGGGUAAAAAAUGGGCAAAAAAUGGGCAAAAAAACGACCAAACAAUGGGCAAAAAUGGCAAAAAUCUGGCUAAAAACGGCCCCAAAAACCGACAAAAACCAACAAAAAUGGCCAGAAGUCAACAAGAAUGACCCCAAAACCAUCCCAGAAGUGUCCAAAAGCAGCAAAACCACCCCAAAAGUGUCCAAAACCACCCCAAAAGUGUCCAAAAGCAGCAAAACCACCCCAAAACCACCCCAAAACCACCCCAAAAGUGUCCAAAAACGACCAAAACGGGCAAAGAACGGCCCAAACCAGCCCAAAGCAGCCAAGAACGGCAAAAACGGCCCCAAAAUGGGCCUGAAAGUUCUGGAAAUGGCCCUGAAGUGUCCCCAGGUGUCCCCAGGUGUCCCCAGGUGUGUCCCCAGAUGUCCCCAGGUGUCCCCAGGUGUCCCCAGGUGUGUCCCCAGAUGUCCCCAGGUGUCCCCAGGUGUCCCAGGUGUGUCCCCAGGUGUGUCCCCAUGUCCCCCCAGGUGUCCCAGCUGUCCCCAGGUGUGUCUCAGCUGUCCCCAGGUGUCCCCAGGUGUAUCUCAGGUGUCCCAGCUGUCCCCAGGUGUCCCCCAGGUGUCCCCUCACCUGUUCCGGGAUCUCGCCGGUGUCCAGGUGGUGCCGCAGGAGCCGCGAGAGCGGCCCCAGGAGCCCCCAGGGGGUCAGGUCGUGGUCACUGCAGUGGGGACAGUGGGGACAGUGGGGACAUUUGGGGCCAUUGGGGCCAUUUUGGGGACAUUUUGGGGACAUUUGGGGCCAUUUGGGCCAUUUUGGGGCCAUUUUGGGGCCAUUUGGGGCCAUUUGGGCCAUUUUGAGGCCAAUAUGGGGACAUUUGGGACAUUUGGGGCCAUUUGGGGCCAUUUUGGGGACAUUUUGGGGACAUUUUGGGGGAUUUUGGGACAUUUUGGGGGAUUUUGGGACAUUUUGGGGCCGUUUGGGGCCAUUUGGGGCCAUUUGGGGACAGUUUGGGGACAUUUUGGGCCAUUUUGGGGACAUUUGGGGCCAUUUGGGGACGUUUGGGGACAUUUGGGGACAUUUUGGGACAUUUUGGGGCCGUUUGGGGACAUUUUGGGACAUUUGGGGCCAUUUGGGGCCAUUUGGGGCCAUUUGGGGACAUUUUGGGGCCAUUUGGGGCCAUUUUGGGGACAUUUUGGGGACAUUUUGGGGGAUUUUGGGAC
rnacentral:lncRNA from 1 species